rnacentral:rRNA from 1 species
AAAGGAGCGCAGGUGGAAAGUAAUUCCUNUUAAANNUCNGGGNUCANCCCGUGAUGGAGAGAAACUACAUUUCUUGAGUGCAGAGAGGAAAGCGGAAUUCCUAGUGUAGCGGUGAAAUGCGUAGAUAUUAGGAGGAACACCAGUGGCGAAGGCGGCUUUCUGGACUGUAACUGACACUGAGGCUCGAAAGCCAGGGGAGCGAACGGGAUUAGAUACCCCGGUAGUCCUGGCCGUAAAC